rnacentral:misc_RNA from 1 species
AACCUCUUCCUUUUUUCUAUUUCUUUUACAUUAUGAAUCACUAGUUAAGUAAUUUUAUUUAUAAAAUAAAUAACAGGUCAAUUGAUUAAUUUGAAAACCUUUAAUUUUCGGUCACAUUAACUUUUAUAAAAUCAAAUUAAAAUAAAAAUACUUAUAAAAUUGAGUAACUGCGUGUAAAAAUUAGCCCAGGAGUUCGAUUGUCACUUUCCUUAGUCAUCUGAUGUCCCUUCCUCAACCUCUUCCGCUUCUACUUUCUUGGUUGGACCAACAUCAUUGGCAACCAAAGAAGGCCGUGCCUCAAAAUCGUCCUGCUUCGCCACAGCAUCUGCUGGUAAUGUCUCAUUGACACCUUUAAAAUCCCCCGACUUUGCCACGGCACCUGUCAAUGUCUCAUUUACAGCCCCAAGAUCGCCACUAUUGUGAUUUCCUUCCAUUUCUUCAACUCUACAGUAAGCCACACAAGUGCGAGCUGGAGAGAGUAUUUUGAAGGAGUUAGGACGAUUGUUGAAGUUAGUUUCAGGCACUCCGGGUAUCCCUUCAGGUGAUGUAAAAUGGUCCACAUCAUGGCCCACUCUUCCAUGUCCACCAAAUUCAAAUGCAUCACUAUCCAAUGCAACUCUAUACUUCCCAGGCAAGUCGCACCCAACCUUGUACCCAUCAUAUGUAUUCUCCGGAUGAAAAUUGAAUACAAAAACCAGAUCCCCACGCUCAAAGACGAUAACCUUAUCCUCUUCAUUUGUGCUGCUCACAAUCUGCUUUGUUGAUGCUAGAAAUGAAUACUUUUCAUCAAGCAAGUUCAUAGCUUUGUCAAAAGCAUUCAUGAACUGAAGAAGGAAAGGAAAAUGACAAAAAGUUAAAAUUUAAAUGUUGGCAUGCUCUACUUUUGUACAAAGAAAUGGCUGACCAUAGACAAUUUGCUAAAUAAGCAGACAAUAUGAAGCAGCAGCUCAAAUUGAUGAAAACGAGUUCACAAACCUUGUAUCUCAAGUGCUCAGUGUCAACUAGGUUCCAUUGGCGUCUGCACUUGUCAUAACUCCACCCAUUGCCUUCUCUUGGGAAGUCAAUCCACUCAGGAUGGCCAAACUAAUAGAAAUAUUCAUCACAACUAAUUCAGACACUAAUCAACUAAACAUGCAUGCAUAUCCUAUCCUUUAUUUUCCUUCAUUCAAAAAAGUGUUUCUCCUAGUCCGCUUGUUGCUCUUGCUCUGUUAUGCUCAUAAUCAACAGGCUCCACAAAGUAUAUCUGACCCAAUUAAAAGUUACCGGUUGGUUCAUGUUUUGACCAUUUCAUUUCCCCCAUUUAUUUUAGGGCAAUACUCGAGAAACAUACUGAUCGCCCUAGGAUAAACCGAAGUUAUUCUAUUUCAUGAAGAAUUUAAACUUUUGAUAAGAAUGCAGAUUAAGACAUCAUGAGAAAAUAUAUAGAUCUGGCAGUUUAGUAGCCCCAAGAGUUUGGUAGACUAGAGUUGGGUUAGUGUGAUUACCUCAUUUCCCAUAAAAUUAAGGUAGCCCUCGCCCCCUAAAGCCAUAGUUAAAAGAUGAACCAUCUGCAGAAUAGAAUCACAUCAAUGAGAAAAAAUGGAAAAAAAAAUGAAGAAGAAAGGAUUCACAUUCUUAAAGUUGAGUCUGAUCGAAGGAACUCAAGAUCAGCUGUUUUCAGGACCAAGAAUAUGUCUUUGUCCCACCAUGCAAAGCUAAACAUGAAUUUUUUGCAAAGCCUCAUGGAUGGCAAUUGAUACAAAAUUAUAGUAAACAAGGAUUUAGAAACUAUGGUUGUGGUUAAAAACCACAGUAAACAGAGGAAUGUGCUCAUGAGGUUGUGUAGAUCAAACCUUAUGAAGCGCUAUCCCUCGCUCAAUCAUAGGUGAGGGAUCUGUCAAGCAAGACAUUCCAGAAUACAUUUCUUUAUCCAUUAGUAAAAAGGCAAUUGUCUUGUCACCUACAAUGGCCUGUAGAAACAAAAGAUACCAUAUUAUUAAGAAAAAAAAAUGAAAGUAGUUAAAUAUGACAAAAAUGAGCAAGUUCUCUUUGCAGGAUGUCAAAGCAGCUAUUCUUUGUCUAACUUCUUCCAGCUUCUUCUUGUCUUUACCUUUCCUUUACCUUACCAAGUAGCUUUUCUUCCUGUCUUUAUCAUUAUCUUUACCAAGUUAUUUGUAACGUUUCACAAUAGAGCAAUGGGAGAAACCACCAACAAAAAUAAUUAUGAAAAAUGAACAAACAAGAAAUUCCAGUCCUCUUACUUGAUCAUGACUCUCGGCAUAAGCAACAUAUUUCUCAGUGUGUCUUCUAUUAGUCAAGCUCCAUGAAAUUUCCUUCACUGACCACUCUUCAUCACUCUUGUUUUUCAAGUAAUCAAUCCAUUUAUCAGGGAUGGCCAUUGCUAGGCGAUAGUCAAAACCAAUUCCACCCUCAGAGACAGACCGGCCAAGCCCGGGCAUGCCAGAAACAUCUUCAGCAAUCACAGUAGCAUCUGGGAAGAUGUUGUAAAUCAGAGAAUUGGCCAGCAUCAGAUAAACAACGGCAUCAACAUCAGUUGCCUCACUGAAAUAAUCAUUAUAAUCCCCUGUAAAUACCAUGUUGAUCCCAUGGUGAUGGUAUAACAUUGAAGUUACUCCAUCAAAUCGGAAUCCAUCAAAUUUGUACUCCUCAAGCCACCAUCUUAAGUUGGACAGAAGGAAGCGAAGAACUUCCCAAUUAGCAUAAUUAAAUAGCCUGCUAUCCCAUAACUUAUGGUAGCCUCGAUCUCCAGUGUGAAAAUAGGAAUCUUGAGAGCUUUGGCCAACAUCAAAGCCAUUAAGGCCAUCAGUGAUAUUGUUACUUGCAUGACUGUGAACAACAUCCAUGAGAACACGUAAACCUAAGCUGUGGGCUUUAUCAAUUAAAUAUUUAAGAUCCUCAGGGGUUCCAGAUCUACUGCUUACAGCAAAAAAGUUGGUAACAUGGUACCCAAACGAUCCAUAAUAUGAAUGCUCCAUAACAGCCAUUAACUGAACAGUGUUAUAGUUAUUUGCUCGUAUGCGAGGCAGCACAUCAUUAGCAAAUUCUCUGUACGUAUUAAUGCAGGGUUCUGAGCUACUCAUUCCUACAUGAGCCUCGUAUAUACGUGGGGCCUUGGGUUUUGGAGGCUGAGGAUACUUAAAUUGGUACCUUUCUGAAGGUGGAGGAUCCCAGUAAACACCGUCAUAUGGUGCUCCAAAACUUGAGGGGUCCACUAUGGCAUAUCUAAUCCAAGCUGGAAUUCGAUCAACCCAAACUCCAUUACCAUGCCUGAAUCGGAAUUUGACUCUUGAAUUGUGAGGAAUGGCUGGAUUUCCACCAGAAUCAGGUAUUUUGAUACUCCAAACACCAAAUUCAUUCUUUUCCAUCCUGUGGUUGGAACCAUCCCAUCCAUUGAAGUCCCCAAUAACUUGCGCUUGCUGAGCUGCAGGUGCCCACUCACGAUAGACAAUUCCACCUUCUUCUCUAUUAAAUCCGAAUUUCAGGUAACCUUUUGAAAAUUCCUGAAGACCUCCUUCAUAUUUUUCAAUUAGCUGUUUCUGAUUUAUAUAUCUUUUCACUCUAUAUAUGAAGUGAUCUUUAAAUGGUUCCAGCCCAGGAUCAAUGCUCAAAAGCCCAAUAUUUUCCAUAUCUUCAUCAAAGCCUGUCAUUGUUGUGUUUUCAUCUGUCACAACUGCUGAGAUUGCAAGACCAUGCCUAGGUUUUGAGAUUCUUGGCCGGAAAUGGAAUUUAGGACAACCAAGCAAUUUUCGAGAUCCAAAAGUCAGUCCAAUCUGCUUUUGUUUGGCAAUGAGAUUGUUUCUUUCCACAUCCCUUUUGGAGUUCUUGGCUAUAGAAGGAGAUAAAAACCCAAAAGCAGGCGCCGGAAAUAGUCCCCAGGAACCUAACAUCUUGGCUCGCUGAGCCUCUGAAGGCCUACUUUCUCUCCCCCUCAAACCAAUGUAAGCAAACCUUAAAAUGGCCGAAACACUAAUAUACAGCUCUUCAGCAUUAAGGAGGACGUGCACCGACACGUAAGCAGCACGUGAUCAGGAAGAUUGCAGCCGUUGGUUAACUGGUCGCACAGUGAUUAUAAAAUUAUUGUGUUCCCUCUUUUCCCCUUCUCG